CCUCCCGCGGGGCUGCAAGGCUGGGAUGGAACACGGGAUCGGCUCUGCCGCCGGCCCGGAGCGGCUCUCCGGGUGUUUGUGUGCAGGUGAGAAGAACACAUUCAUUUCCCAGAGCGUGGCCAUUAGUGCGGGACACCAGAGAGCGACACGAGGGCUGGGCUGGCGCCAGACACCGGCAGGGACAAGGACAAGGCAGCAGGGACAAGGACAAGGUGGCAGGGACAAGGACAAGGUGGCAGGGACAAGGACAAGGCACAGCUCCUCGUGUUGAUCCCCCAGCCCUCAGUGCCAGCUUCCUCCGCCCUCCUGCCGUGCCCCGGGCCUUGGGCUGGGCAGGGAUCGGCACCAUCACUGCUGCCUCUGGGGAAGGAGGAACGUAAAAACCCUUCAGCCUCAUCUGUGACUGACUUCACACACUGGCCUGACUAAUCCUUAUUCCUCAAACAGAAAUGGUUACAAAUAGAAAUUGGUUGCUCGGUGUUUCUUCCUCUCUGUGACUCUCAUGGGGAUCAGCCUGGGCUGAGGAUGGGGAACGAGACAGAGCUGGGAGCCAACACCUUCCCUCCCUCUGGCUUCUGUUAACAACACCUGCAGCAAAGCAAGAGGGGAAUGAGGUGACUCUUCUCACCAGAUGGAGAGUAAGAGACAAAAGGACAAAACUGGAAAUGUGAAACACGACCAAAUAGUGCACAAGAGCUUGUUUACAAAUGGAAACAGCUUCCUACAGCUGUAACGAGAUGCCGGGCUGUGGUUUAUGGAUCAGAGACUCCUUCCCGAGGCUGCUGUUCGGGACACUGGGGGG